UACGUAGGGGGCAAGCGUUGUCCGGAAUCAUUGGGCGUAAAGAGCGUGUAGGCGGCCCGGUAAGUCCGCUGUGAAAGUCCAGGGCUCAACCCUGGGAUGCCGGUGGAUACUGUCGGGCUAGAGUGCGGAAGAGGCGAGUGGAAUUCCUGGUGUAGCGGUGAAAUGCGCAGAUAUCAGGAGGAACACCGGUGGCGAAGGCGGUUCUCUGGGCAUUACCUGACGCUGGAGGAGCGAAAGCGUGGGGAGCGAACAGG
rnacentral:rRNA from 1 species